ensembl:lncRNA
UGUUUGCUGAAUUUGCAUGGUUUAAGUAACUUACUUCAAUGUAGAAUUUCAACUUCAUCAGUUAAUGUCUCUCUUAUAGAUAUUGAAGAUGGAAAAACUACCUCACCACAAUCCCUUCCAUUUAAACCCCUCAACCAACCCUCAACAUCCUCAGCCUCAAAUCACCCCCACAGUCUCACCCUAGACCGUUCCAAGUCUGCCCCAGCCUCUGUAAACCAGGGAGUGCCCCCAGUUGAAAUUCCCACAUCGAUUGAAUCCUCUCUGCUUCAACCCUUGAAAGUGGGUGAACCCUCUCCAGAUCCCUCUGAUGACACCUUUAGAUCUCAGUCCCAAGGACUGGCAGAUAUGACAUCGUCUUGCUUGCAAACAGAUGCAGAUACUCCUAUCCCAAGCACUCUUCCCUCUCAGGAACCAUUCUCGAGUACUGUGCCCGAGGACAAUGAGGUGACAGGCGACAUUGUUUCAGGAGAUUCCGGCAGUCCGAUAGAUGCAGAUUUGGGGAUGAAUAACAUUUCCUCUGAGACUGUAGCAGGAGAAUCUCCCUUUAUUAUUUUUAACCCAAGGUCUCAGACUCAAACACUGGAUCAGGAAGUGGACAUGGAUGUUUCUUCCAAUGCAAAACCGGAAGCUAGCUAUGACUUUCCUGAUCAGUGCCAGAGAGACCAAGGUAGUAUGAUGGAGGAUGUUUCAGGGGCUCAACCACAGCUCAUGCCUGUUCCAGAUUUGAACCCUGAGCCCUGUCAUGUUGAGCCAGCCAUUUCUUCUGUCCAUUCAGACGCUAAGAGUGUAGUACCCUGUGAAAAAGACCCACCAGAGAUGGAUAACAUCCCUUCCUUGGCUCAAGCCCUAAAGGAGCUCCAUAAACUUCUAAUGUCCAACAGUUGUCCAACAGUUUCUGGAAGGAUUCCUCUAUCUGAUGCUAAUGAUACUACACCAAGACAAGAUAUUGAUGAGGUGGACCAGAAUUCUGCUGCAAAAAACCAUGUCAUUCUGAACCCAACUAUUGACUCAUCCUCUAAUACUGCCACAACAAACGACAAAGAGGAAAGUGUUGCCAAAGCUGACUUUACUUCUCAAUCCAUGAGGGAUAUUCCAGACAUACCAACACCAAGCAAUCCAAGGCACACAGAGAACCAACCUUCUAGUCUGGUAGAUCCCACAGUGGAACAAACGAUUGAGUGUCCUGAUGCAGCUGAAGGAAAUCAGGCCCUUGUUUUUAAAGAAGGUUCUGGGCCGGUGACUUCUUUUCAGAGAGAUCUUGAGCUCCCUGAGGGUCAGCAAGGGCAGGACAUUGUGGACAAAAACACCUCAGGCAUUGACAUCUCAGCUGACCUGUCUCAGCAGCACCCGCUUUCUGUAGCAGCUGGCUCAUCAACCAAUUCCAGCCUAGGGCCUGUUGCAUCUCCUCAAGCCACUGAGACGGAUCCUCUUUUUCUUGGAGACUCCAUCCAACCUGCACCACAGUCCUCGAUGGGACCGUUUCCACUAGAGCACAUUCAGAGGAUCCAGGCGUCAGGGUUCUCAGCCCUUGAGGCUGCUGAGGCGCUGGAACAGGCUCAAGGCAGCGUAGAGCUUGCCUUAUUGGUGCUGCUUGCAAGAAAGAUCACUGUGCCCACUUAGACUCCGAAUCAACUCUUAGUGGUGGCAUCAGUUAACAUAUGAGCCUUUUUUCAUCAUGUCGUUUUCCUUUAGCAGUCCUCGUGGUUUUGUACUUGAUGGUCUUCUUCUGGCUCCUCUACUUUACCAACAUGCAUAAUGUUUAAAAAAUCGAUUUGUGAGAAGCUGGCCAUAUUUCCCUUUCAACAGAACAAUGAUGUCUGUGCAGCCUUUUUUUUUUUUUUUUUU